rnacentral:rRNA from 6 species
AGGCAGCAGUGGGGAAUAUUGGACAAUGGGCGAAAGCCUGAUCCAGCCAUGCCGCGUGUGUGAAGAAGGUCUUCGGAUUGUAAAGCACUUUAAGUUGGGAGGAAGGGCAGUAAAUUAAUACUUUGCUGUUUUGACGUUACCGACAGAAUAAGCACCGGCUAACUCUGUGCCAGCAGCCGCGGUAAUACAGAGGGUGCAAGCGUUAAUCGGAAUUACUGGGCGUAAAGC